rnacentral:rRNA from 1 species
AUUGAACGCUAGCGGGAUGCCUUACACAUGCAAGUCGAACGGAGUGGCGGACGGGUGAGUAAUAUCUAGGAAUCUGCCCGGUAGCGGGGGAUAACUACUGGAAAUAGUCGCUAAUACCGCAUACUAUAGGAGCGGCCGAGGUCGGAUUAGCUAGUUGGUGGGGUAAAGGCUCACUAAGGCAACGAUCCGUAGCUGGUCUGAGAGGACGAUCAGUCAAACUGGAACUGAGACACGGCCCAGACUCCUACGGGAGGCAGCAGUGGGGAAUUUUGGACAAUGGGGGAAACCCUGAUCCAGCCAUCCCGCGUGUGUGAUGAAGGCCUUCGGGUUGUAAAGUACUUUUAGCAGAGAGGCGUUAUCUACAGAAUAAGCACCGGCUAACUCCGUGCCAGCAGCCGCGGUAAUAC